CCUGGCGGCAGUAGCGCGGUGGUCCCACCUGACCCCAUGCCGAACUCAGAAGUGAAACGCCGUAGCGCCGAUGGUAGUGUGGGGUCUCCCCAUGCGAGAGUAGGGAACUGCUAGGC
rnacentral:rRNA from 8 species